rnacentral:lncRNA from 1 species
UCUUGAGAGUGCUGCCAAUCAAAUAUAAAAAAGGCUGCCUUCAAGACAGCUGGGUACCAUUUCUAAAGAGACUAAAAGAAAACACCGUAAAUACUGUUAUCAAAAUAGACGACUAUGCUCUACUCCCUGUGAGAAGAAAAUUUUGACGGAAUAAUCUUUGUCACAGCUCUUGGCUGAGACUGGAAGAAGAGUCACUAUGUUUGGUCCAUAAAAUUUAGUGCUUAGUGGGAUGCAGAAAUCACCUGUUCUUAAAAUUACAGAGCUUUGACCAAGGUUCCUCUGAUUUGCUAAGAAGGUGUGGUUGUUCCUCAGCAGCAGCUCACAGAGGCCCCUGUCUGUAAAUAGGCAGCAUUUGCACUCUCUUCUACCCUGUGUUUUCCCAAACAAGCUUGUUUGGGGUAGGAAGGCACUUAAACCAUCUUCCAGGGCUUCCAAGAAAGGAGGUGGAGACUUUUAAUUGUAUUCAAAAUGUACCAGUCAAGCUGAAGACUUGUUCUGCUUCAGAGGCUAGAGACUUGUCAUCUUAGCAGUCCAGAUGGAAGGCUCGUCUUGAAGGAUUCUGAGCACGUCUGAUACAGCUGAAAUAAGGCAUCUACUUUGAUCAAGUGAACACCAUUUGAAAGAUCACACAACAGAUAGGAGAAAAUUAUGCAGAAUAACUGGAAAUAAUUGACAGGUAGAUUCAUUUUGCUCCAUACGUGUUUAUACUUUCACUUUUAUGAUCAUAAUAAACUUCCUGGGUUGUCUAGUUGUUCCCUGCUG